CUGAGUACGGCGGAACACGUGAAAUUCCGUCGGAAUCCGGGAGGACCAUCUCCCAAGGCUAAAUACUCCCUAGUGACCGAUAGUGAACCAGUACCGUGAGGGAAAGGUGAAAAGCACCCCGGAAGGGGAGUGAAACAGUUCCUGAAACCGUGUGCCUACAAGUAGUUAGAGCCCGUUAAUGGGUGAUAGCGUGCCUUUUGUAGAAUGAACCGGCGAGUUACGAUUUGUUGCAAGGUUAAGCGGAAAAAGCGGAGCCGUAGCGAAAGCGAGUCUGAAUAGGGCGCAUAAGUAACAGGUCGUAGACCCGAAACCAGGUGAUCUACCCAUGUCCAGGAUGAAGGUAAGGUAAUACUUACUGGAGGUCCGAACCCACGCACGUUGAAAAGUGCGGGGAUGAGGUGUGGGUAGCGGAGAAAUUCCAAUCGAACUUGGAGAUAGCUGGUUCUCUCCGAAAUAGCUUUAGGGCUAGCCUCGAGGUAAAGAGUCAUGGAGGUAGAGCACUGUUUGGACUAGGGGCCCUUCUCGGGUUACCGAAUUCAGAUAAACUCCGAAUGCCAUGUACUUAUACUCGGGAGUCAGACUGCGAGUGAUAAGAUCCGUAGUCGAAAGGGAAACAGCCCAGACCACCAGUUAAGGUCCCCAAAUAUAUGUUAAGUGGAAAAGGAUGUGGGGUUGCUUAGACAACCAGGAUGUUGGCUUAGAAGCAGCCACCAUUGAAAGAGUGCGUAAUAGCUCACUGGUCGAGUGACCCCGCGCCGAAAAUGUACCGGGGCUAAACAUAUUACCGAAACUGUGGAUGAACCUCUUUAGAGGUUCGUGGUAGGAGAGCGUUCUAAGGGCGGUGAAGUCAGACCGGAAGGACUGGUGGAGCGCUUAGAAGUGAGAAUGCCGGUAUGAGUAGCGAAAGAAGGGUGAGAAUCCCUUCCACCGAAUAUCUAAGGUUUCCUGAGGAAGGCUCGUCCGCUCAGGGUUAGUCGGGACCUAAGCCGAGGCCGAUAGGCGUAGGCGAUGGACAACAGGUAGAGAUUCCUGUACCAGUGCUAAUUGUUUAACCGAUGGGGUGACACAGAAGGAUAGGGAAUCGCACGAAUGGAAAUGUGCGUCCAAGCAGUGAGUGUGAGAAGUAGGCAAAUCCGCUUCUCGCGAAGCAUGAGCUGUGAUGGGGAAGGAAAUUAAGUACGGAAGUUCCUGAUUUCACGCUGUCAAGAAAAGCCUCUAGGAAGAGUAGUACUGCCCGUACCGCAAACCGACACAGGUAGAUGAGGAGAGAAUCCUAAGGUGAGCGAGAGAACUCUC
rnacentral:rRNA from 1 species